UACGUACCGUACAAACGUUAUUCGGAAUUACUGGGCUUAAAGGGUUUGUAGGCGGCCUUGUAAGUCAGGUGUGAAAUUCCUCGGCUCAACCGAGGAACGGCGCUUGAUACUGCAAGGCUUGAGGGAGACAGGGGUAAGCGGAACUGAUGGUGGAGCGGUGAAAUGCGUUGAUAUCAUCAGGAACACCGGUGGCGAAAGCGGCUUACUGGGUCUCUUCUGACGCUGAGGUGCGAAAGCGUGGGGAGCAAACAGG
rnacentral:rRNA from 1 species